GAUGAACGCUGGCGGCGUGCCUAAUACAUGCAAGUCGAGCGAACGGACGAGAAGCUUGCUUCUCUGAUGUUAGCGGCGGACGGGUGAGUAACACGUGGAUAACCUACCUAUAAGACUGGGAUAACUUCGGGAAACCGGAGCUAAUACCGGAUAAUAUUUUGAACCGCAUGGUUCAAAAGUGAAAGACGGUCUUGCUGUCACUUAUAGAUGGAUCCGCGCUGCAUUAGCUAGUUGGUAAGGUAACGGCUUACCAAGGCAACGAUGCAUAUCCGACCUGAGAGGGUGAUCGGCCACACUGGAACUGAGACACGGUCCAGAAUCCUACGGGAGGCAGCAGUAGGGAAUCUUCCGCAAUGGGCGAAAGCCUGACGGAGCAACGCCGCGUGAGUGAUGAAGGUCUUCGGAUCGUAAAACUCUGUUAUUAGGGAAGAACAUAUGUGUAAGUAACUGUGCACAUCUUGACGGUACCUAAUCAGAAAGCCACGGCUAACUACGUG
rnacentral:rRNA from 1 species